GCUGAGGUAGCUCAGUCGGUAGAGCACAUCCUUGGUAAGGAUGAGGUCGGCGGUUCAAGUCCGCUCCUCAGCUCCA
rnacentral:tRNA from 1 species